CGCGGCCUAUCAGCUUGUUGGUGGGGUAAUGGCCUACCAAGGCGGCGACGGGUAGCCGGCCUGAGAGGGUGUACGGCCACAUUGGGACUGAGAUACGGCCCAGACUCCUACGGGAGGCAGCAGUGGGGAAUAUUGCACAAUGGGCGCAAGCCUGAUGCAGCGACGCCGCGUGGGGGAUGAAGGCCUUCGGGUUGUAAACUCCCUUCGCUAGGGACGAAGCCUUGUUGUGACGGUACCUAGAUAAGAAGCACCGGCUAACUACGUGCCAGCAGCCGCGGUAAUACGUAGGGUGCGAGCGUUGUCCGGAAUUACUGGGCGUAAAGGGCUCGUAGGUGGUUUGUCGCGUCGUCUGUGAAAUUCUGGGGCUUAACUCCGGGCGUGCAGGCGAUACGGGCAUAACUUGAGUGCUGUAGGGGUAACUGGAAUUCCUGGUGUAGCGGUGAAAUGCGCAGAUAUCAGGAGGAACACCGAUGGCGAAGGCAGGUUACUGGGCAGUUACUGACGCUGAGGAGCGAAAGCAUGGGUAGCGAACAGGAUUAGAUACCCUGGUAGUCCAUGCCGUAAACGGUGGGCGCUAGGUGUGAGGGUCUUUCUACGACUUUCGUGCCGUAGCUAACGCAUUAAGCGCCCCGCCUGGGGAGUACGG
rnacentral:rRNA from 1 species